CUUUUUAAACUGCGAUGGCAUUUACUUGAAUUAUAACUGGACGAAAUCAAAAUUGGAAAACGGUUUGGCACUUGCAAAAAAUCACAGCAGAGAUAUUCAUGAUAUUUAUGUAGGACUUGAUAUUUGGGGAAGAUGUUGUCCUGGUGGUGGUGGAUUUAAUUCAACAUAUGCUUUACCAAAAAUACGACACUAAGGACUUUCUGUCGCGCUUUUUGGUCCAGGUUGGACUCACGAAUUUUUCGUAUCUAAGACAUUCCAAGAAAUAGAAGAUCUAUUUUGGGCACAGUUGUUUCCUUAUUUAUAUGUUCAUGUACCUAUCUACGAAGAAGAAGUAUUCAAAACAUCAUUUUGCCGCGGCAGUGGUAGCUUGUAUUAUCGCUGUGGUCAGGCACUAUAUGAAAAGGAUGGGAAAAGAUUUAAACACAAACCAUUUUACAAUUUAUCCCUGCAAAAUCCACAAAUAUCAGUACCUAUACCGCACGUGAAAUUUACAUCAUCGCCUCAACUUCCAGAACCGAAAAGUGAAAACGAUCGAAAUGAGUGUUCAAAAGAACCGAUACAAUAUGUUUAUGAAACGAGGAAGAAUGUUAUUCGAAUAUUAAAAAAUGUUGUAAAUAUUGAAAAUAAAAUGCCAAUGCAUCGAACUGUCAGAAUUUGAUAUCUUUGUCCACGGGGAUAAGACCACUGAGACAACAGGAACAACAUAGAGGUCGUCCUCCAGACCAUAAAUAAUAAUAAUCUUUAAAAUUGCUACAGGACAAACACCGAAUCUUCCGCACCUUAGAUCGGCUGAAGAAGCGCUUCGGCACUCUAUGUUACUCUAUCCCAUCGGUCAUCGAACACGGCAAGGGAUAUAGAGCCAUAAAAAUGCUUAUCAGUAAGGCCUCUGACAGAUCCCGAGUUCUCUGCACUCAGAGAAUUAAAGAUUCCAAAACCACGUUUCCGCAAGUAAGACGAAUGCUAUACCUCUUGAUCGGCGCCCUCAAAUUUUCUUCGGACG